GCCGAGGAUGACAAUUUCCUAGGGCGUUUCUCAAAACAUUCGCAGUGCCCGAUCUAGAGCUUUCGCCUCGCCAGGCUUGAGAGCUGCUGCGGCUUUAUCCUUCCUUGGAUGUCUGACGGC
rnacentral:snoRNA from 1 species